GUGAACGCCCUUUGUCCGCCUCGGGCUGCCGUAGAGACCGCAGUGCGGACUGCACCACGCCCACCAGCCGGUGUCUCCAGGCAGAAACGCUUCAGCACCACCCCAAGAGAAUAGAGCGCGGCCUGGGGCUGCGGAGGGACCAAGCGACUGAGCCGUUGGCCCAGAGCUGAUGUCAUCUGCAGCAAAUCAUCUCGCCCGCGGCCCGGAAGCUGGAGGGAAGAGGUGUGCGGACAAUGGUCAGGGCAGGGCCGGGAGUCAAGGGCCUGGGGGACCCUAAGGGCCCCCCGCUGUAGCGGCGAAGGGGUUUAACACUACCCACCUACACCCCACACACACCCACUACCGGCUGCGUACACUCACCCGGUUUGUGCAGGAACACGGGAUGGGUUUCCAUUUUUGCAGUGGAGAUAUUUACCUUGUAUGAGGUGCACAAGUCAGGCCUUUACCUCGUGUCCGUCUGUGAUGAAACUAGAUUCUCAGGUGCUGAGAUAGAUAGCACAGCGGGUGUAGAGCUGGAGGUACCCCGCCCAGGAAGAUGGAACCUGUCUUUUCUUUGACCUUGUGGACUUAGGAAGGCACAUUUUCCACCUUCACUUAGUACAUCAAAAAUGCAAAACCUAAUCCUAAUAUUGUCCAGGCUUUGGAUCCUAAUCUGCAAGGCCCAGUGGUUUAAAAAAGAGAAAAAGAAAGGAAGAAAGAAAAAGUACUGGCUUUGCCGUUCUCAUGGGAAAUAAGAGGAAUACAAAUGCAUUUUCUAGAUACAGAUUUCUUAAUAAUAUGCUAAAUAGAUAGUAUCAGGCAUAACAAAGAAUGAAGAGAAGAUACUGUCUCUCUCCCAGCAGGAUUACAAUGACUAUAAUGUACUUUUCAGUUCCCUAGGGGACACAGAAGCAAAAUUAUUUCAUGUGACAAUGAUAUCUUUAAAAAUAUACGUAGCAUAGGGAGUUUUUAUUGCCUUUGUGUUUAGAACACAUAAAAAUGUUUAAAGGCAGCCCAUCUACCACCACUUCUCACAGAUCUUCUAAAUAUAACUUCUGUCGCUGGAAGGGGUUGUGAUGGUGAGGAAGGAACAAAAUGUGCAAACAUGGUACUAUCAUAAAAGACUGAAGGAUUAGAAGUUUAAAAAAGAGGACUGGAUGGAAAUUAGACUAGUCAAUAUAGUUCUAAUACUAGAAUGCAUAUUAGUAAAAAAAAAAAAAUCACCACCAUAGGCUAAGAUUUCCAAAUUAGUCCAUUGUCUUGCCUAUUACCUACCAUAAUUUAUGAGUGAUGCACACUUUGCUCUUAGCUCUUUCCUGAAAUCCUGGCAUGGGAGACACAGUGGGCAGCUAAAGGCAAUGAUUCCUUCCUACAUGCCAGUCUGAUCAGUGGGGAAUAAGAUACCAUCUGGCCCACAGCGGUUGAGGUCCGCAGCAAGCUCACUAGUGAGCCACAAUGACCAGUGAAUAGUGACAGUUCCCAAGUGAGAUGGUAACAGAUCACUUCUUGGUCAAGAAAAGGCCUUCAAUUUCUGUUAGAGAGGCAAUGCCAGCAGUAAUGCUUGUAACUGGGGGAGGAGAUUUGGUAAGGAGCAUUGUUUUCCAGAGGUCAGCCCUUGAACCCUAAUGUCAUGUACUGAUUGUCCGUCCUCCCUUUUCUCUGAACCACCAUUACUUUUAUUUACAUAAUAAUUUUCUUUAGCUCUGUUUCUUUUACUCAGAUUUAUUUUUAGUGAAAUUCUUUACUGCUGUACAAAUGGAAACACUAAUAUCACUUAAAAAUAGAAGGUAUCCCUAAGAGAAACAUAAUGAAAAAAGAUAAUGCAAUUAAACUCCUGCUCUACGCUGUUACUUGCUCAAGACUCUGACCCUCAGGGGUAGGCUCUCUAGAUGAAAACAGAGAUUAGCAAGUGUUCGGUGUUAAGACACACCACCUCCUAACCAAGUUGUUCUCCAUGUCAGAACAGAAAGUUGGAUGAAUAUAACACAGGAGCUUUCUUACCAUGUGAGUCGGUACAACUAAAUGCCAUGACCACGAGCCCCCUAAGUCAGCACCCAGACUUUGAAAAACAAGAGACAUAAUGACAGAAAAUAGACCAGAGGUGCUGACUGCUACUGUAUGGCUUUGUAACUUUGGGCAAGGGACUUACUCUUCUUGAUCUUCGGUCUCUUCAUUAGUAUGCUGGAGAGAAUAAUAUCUUUAUAAAUGUGUGAGUAACUUUAAACGAUAGAGAACAUAAGUACCUAAUACAGUGAUUGGAAUAAGCACUCAUGGUGUGGUUGAUGAACACACCUGUUUUAUUCCAGUUUGUUGGACAAUGGAGUAAAAGCAUUCUUACAAAAUGUGCAGGUGACAUUAAGUUGGGCAUGACUACCAAGAUCUGUGAAACAAUAGAAUAUUAAGUGACACUAUAGACUAGAAAAGUAGUCCCCACCCAUCCCCAUUUAAAAAAAAAAAAUGUGCUAAGGAGGUAGAAGGGAAAACCAACAGAAGAUCAUCUUUGGUGAGUGCUGCCACCUGACGUCACCUGGAUGUCCCAAAGAGACCUAAGACUCAACAUGCUCCAAACCAAAAUCCUAUGAUGCAAGCGGGAAACCUCAAAGGCCUCUUAAACUCUUCCCUGACAUCUAGCCCCAUGGACGACUGAGCAUGAAUUCUGGUUAGUUUUAUCUAAGUAUCUCUUUAGUCCACCCACUUCUCUCUACUGUCAGCACUGUAACCCAAUCUACUAUCAUCAUGAGACAUAGGAGUGUGCAGGUUAGAAAUUGGUUUCUGAAGUCAUUCCUACAUAAUACUCUCAGAAUAACAAUAAAAAUGUUAAAAGCA